rnacentral:lncRNA from 1 species
UUCCUUUCCCCUGUUUGGAUUUAUUUUUAAGGGAAGAUGUCACGAGUCAUUAGGUCUCUUAACUUUGGUCAUUCUUGCUGCAUUUUCAGCUCCCCUGACAAUCUGCCUAUCCCACCAGUCCCUUGCUAAAAAAAAUAGCUCCGUUGAUCUCUCAACCUGAGCACACCCUGGGGGAAGACACUUAAGCCCUUGGUGAGCGCAAGUGAAAAUUUUGUUCUUGCUGAAAACUACAUGGACGAAUCCUUAGGUAAGUUUUCCUAAAACAUCCUGUCAGGAAAAGCCAGUUUUGUGUUUGUGAAAAUGCCAAGUCUGCAAGCAUCAAUAUGUUUCUCCUCGUUGCACUGUUUCCUAUGUAGUAUGCUGCUUUUUCAGAGCUUGGUUAUUUCUGCAACUCCAGUUCCUUUGCACACUGUCUGUCGGCACUUAAUAAGUAUU